rnacentral:rRNA from 1 species
CCUACGUGUGGCAGCAGUGGGGAAUAUUGCGCAAUGGGCGAAAGCCUGACGCAGCGACGCCGCGUGAGGGAUGAAGGUCUUCGGAUCGUAAACCUCUGUCAGCAGGGAAGAACGGUCACUGUGCUAAUCAGCAGUGAAUUGACGGUACCUGCAAAGGAAGCACCGGCUAACUCCGUGCCCGCAGCCGCGGUAAUACGGAGGGUGCGAGCGUUAAUCGGAAUUACUGGGCGUAAAGCGCUCGUAGGCGGUAUGUCAAGUCAAGGGUGAAAUCCCCGCGCUCAACGUGGGAACUGCCUUUGAAACGGGCAAACUGGAGUGUGUGAGAGGAUAGUGGAAUUCCAGGUGUAGGAGUGAAAUCCGUAGAUAUCUGGAGGAACAUCAGUGGCGAAGGCGACUAUCUGGCACAUAACUGACGCUGAGGAGCGAAAGCGUGGGUAGCAAACAGGAUUAGAUACCCCAGGAGUC